rnacentral:lncRNA from 10 species
CUUAUUUUCAGAGAGACAUAAGCAUCUGCAUAGGCCCAGUAAGAAUCUGUACUUUCUAUUACGAGAACAUAAUUUAAAUAAUUAGUUAUGCAACCAAGGCCUUGCCUAGAGUGUCAGAUUUGAUAAUGAUGCUUAUUUAAUUAGAUAUGACCCGAUUCUUUAAAAUAAGUCAGUUUGACUCAAUGGCACCAAUUUUCACAGAUCGCCCUUGGAAAAAUUGUACUGGUACCUGCUUAUGAGGCUCCCAGUGGUACAGCAGAAAUAACCAUCAACCUUGAAGCUGGAACAUGUCAUAAAAGGGGAGAUUGAAUUCAUGGACUGGGAGUUGGAGGCCCUUUAGGAGGCUACUGCAGAAACGUGUGUUUUGCUAUGACCUUUGGUGUUAUAAAAAAUUAUAGGUUCCUCUCAUCGGUUUCUAAUUUUCUUAUCCCAAACUUUCUCAACACGAGAUGGUUUCAAGUGGUCACUAUACUUGAGCUCAGAAUAAUUAUAAUAGGGCAUGUGGUGGCCAGGACAGAAAAGUGACUGAGUGACUGUGGGAACUGACAAAUAUUUAUUUUAGUUUGUGAUAUUGUGACUCGCUGUAUUACGGGUUCAAAAUCUUCUCAAAGACUAAUUCUUGUUCUGAUCUUUCAGGAUUUUUUUUUAAUGCUCUAUUUUACUAAACAGUGUAAUAUUCAAAAGGCAUUUAGAAUUUACUGAUUGUCUACUAUAUGCCUGGCAUUUAUAUGAGAGUUAAGAUUAUAAAAAAGACAGUCAACUAAACUUUUAUCAGAGUUUAGUUGUCAGUCUCCUAUGACAGAACCAUAUGGAGUUAUCCUGUCUAAAAUGGUAGCCAGUUGCUACAUGUGGCUAAUGAGCACUUGAAAUGUGGCUAGUCUGAAUUGAGGUAUAUUGUAAAUAUAAAUUACACUCUGAAAUUUGAAGGAUUAGUAUGGGAAAAUUUAACAUUUCUAUUAAUAAUUUUUAUACUGAUUACUUGCUGAAAUAUUAUUUCAGCAAUAAUAAAAAUUAUUAAUAGAAAUGUUAAUAAACAUUAACAGUAGUUGGGUUAAAUUUAAUAGUAAAGUUGAUUUCACAGGUUUUUUAAUGUGGCUGCUAGAAAUUUUAAGAUUAUAUAAGGUACUUGUAUUUGCGGCUCACAUAUAUUUUGAUUGGACAUCACUAGUCUAGGAUGUUUGUUAAAAUAGCAAGUCAUAAUGUUCCAUUUACAGACAUUGUGACCACCCAAAGUGUUCACCUUGCCUACUGCCUAAACAGAGCCAAUUUAACUAGAUUGGCUCCCCUAGACAGGGGAAUUGCAAUGGAGAAAGAGUAAUUCAUGCAGAGCCAGCUGUGUGGGAGACCAGAGUUUUAUUAUUACUCAAAUCAGUCUCCUUGAGCAUUCAGGCAUCAGAGUUUUUAAAGAUAAUUUGGCUGGUAGGGGGCUUGGAAAGUGGGGAGUGAUGAUUGGUCAGGUUGGAGAUGGAAUCAUAGUGGGGGUUGAAGUGAGAUUUUCUUGCUGUUUUCUGCUCCAGGGUGAGAUCACAGAACUGGUUGAGCCAGAUUACUGGUCUGGGUGUUGUUAGUUGAUCCACCGAGGCAGGGUCUGCAAAAUAUCUCAAGCACCGAUCUUAGGUUUUACAAUAGUGAUGUUCUCCCCAGGAGCAAUUUGAGGAGGUUCAGACUCUUGCAGCCAGAGACUGCAUAACCCCUAAACAGUAAUGUCUAAUCUUGUAGCUAAUUUGUUAGUCCUACAAAGGCAGACUGGUCCCAGGUAAGACGGGGUUCUUUUUGGGAAAGAGAUAUUAUUAAUUUUGUUUCAGAGUCAGACUAUAAAUUAAAUCCCUUUCCAAGGUUAGUUCAGCCUGUGCCCAGAAAUGAAUAAGGACAGCUUAAAUGUUAGAAGGAAGAUGGAGUCAGUUAGUUCUCAUCUCUGUCACUGUCAUAAUUUCCUCAGCUAUAAUUUUUUUUUAAAGGCAGUUUCAACAUUCUGAGUCAGGUCUGUGGCUGGGAACCAGAAAUCUAUAUUUUCAAACAAGCACCUCAGAUGUGAUCUAAGGACCAUACUUUGAAAACAAAAAACCUUGAGUGCAGGGUUAGUCAUAGAGACAGACAACUGAGUAAUAAAGAAAAGUGAUUAAAGAAUAAUAAAGGCUAUGGCAAAAGAAAGUUCAGUGUACUAUAAAAUGCUACAUUGAGAAUUUUGAGUAAGAGAAGGUGAGUCAAAGUAAGUUUUCCAGAGAAAUAAACUGAGUCCUAAAUACUGAGAAGGAGUUAGCCAGGCGAAGAUGAGGUCUUUAUUCCAAGUAGAGACCAGUGCAAAGGUCAGAGGUGAAAGCAAGGCAGCUUGGUGCAUUGCAGGAACUAAAAUUUAUUAUGUGGCUGGAGAGGGAUGAUGGAAGUUGGGAAAAAUAGAGAUGAUUCAAGAAAAAUCGGUCAUGAGGAACUUGUAAACCAUGUUAUGAGAUCUGGAUUUUAUCUUAAGGUAACAGAACAUUAUUGAAAAGAUUUUAAGGAAUGCAGUGGCGCUAUAAAAUGAGUAGUAGGAACACCUUGUAGUCAGGGAUGCGUCAAUUACAAUGUUGUCAUGGAAUUGAAGUGUGAGAAUAUUCACUUGAAGUUACUUUGUUUUUAAUAUAGACUAUGAAUCUUAUGAUUUUGUCUCCUCUUUGUUGUGAUGACUUAGAAAUGUAAAUGCAAAUUUGUGACUCUGUUUAGCCUUAUACAUGACAGAAUGGUUUAAAUUUCUGUGUUACAGUUUUAUGAAUGAAAUUACCAUUUUUCUCCCCUUAAAUUCCUUUGACUCCCAUAUUCUCAAUUAGUUUGUGUUUUGUGCAAUUUUAAACAACCUCACUUUGUGUGUGUUGUGAAUAAAGCAAGAUAUAAAUAAAUA